CCCUUUUGGGUCAUCCUAGACUGAAUACAUAGGUCUAGUGAAGCGAACGCGGUGAACUGAAACAUCUAAGUAACCGCAGGAAAAGAAAUCAACCGAGAUUCCCAAAGUAGUGGCGAGCGAAAUGGGAUGAGCCUUGCACUCUUUAUUUGUAUUGUUAGCCGAACGCUCUGGAAAGUGCGGCCAUAGCAGGUGAUAGCCCUGUAGGCGAAAACAGUAUGAAAGAACUAGGUGUGCGACAAGUAGGGCGGGACACGUGAAAUCCUGUCUGAAGAUGGGGGGACCAUCCUCCAAGGCUAAAUACUCGUGAUCGACCGAUAGUGAACCAGUACCGUGAGGGAAAGGCGAAAAGAACCCCGGGAGGGGAGUGAAAUAGAUCCUGAAACCGCAUGCAUACAAACAGUCGGAGCCUCGCAAGGGGUGACGGCGUACCUUUUGUAUAAUGGGUCAGCGACUUACGUUCAGUAGCAAGCUUAACCGUAUAGGGCAGGCGUAGCGAAAGCGAGUCCGAAUAGGGCGUUCAGUUGCUGGGCGUAGACCCGAAACCAGGUGAUCUAUCCAUGGCCAGGAUGAAGGUGCGGUAACACGUACUGGAGGUCCGAACCCACUAACGUUGAAAAGUUAGGGGAUGAGCUGUGGAUAGGGGUGAAAGGCUAAACAAACCUGGAAAUAGCUGGUUCUCUCCGAAAACUAUUUAGGUAGUGCCUCGUGUCUCACCUUCGGGGGUAGAGCACUGUCAUGGUUGGGGGGUCUAUUGCAGAUUACCCCGCCAUAGCAAACUCCGAAUACCGAAGAGUGCAAUCACGGGAGACAGACAUCGGGUGCUAACGUCCGGUGUCAAGAGGGAAACAACCCAGACCGCCAGCUAAGGUCCCCAAAUAUAGCUAAGUGGGAAACGAAGUGGGAAGGCUAAAACAGUCAGGAGGUUGGCUUAGAAGCAGCCACCCUUUAAAGAAAGCGUAAUAGCUCACUGAUCGAGUCGUCCUGCGCGGAAGAUGUAACGGGGCUAAGCUAUAUACCGAAGCUGCGGAUGCGAGCUUGCUCGCAUGGUAGGAGAGCGUUCCGUAAGCCUGCGAAGGUGCCUUGUAAAGGGUGCUGGAGGUAUCGGAAGUGCGAAUGCUGACAUGAGUAGCGAUAAAGGGGGUGAAAGGCCCCCUCGCCGUAAGCCCAAGGUUUCCUACGCAACGUUCAUCGGCGUAGGGUGAGUCGGCCCCUAAGGCGAGGCAGAAAUGCGUAGCUGAUGGGAAGCAGGUCAAUAUUCCUGCACCAUUGUUAGAUGCGAUGGGGGGACGGAUCGCGGAAGGUUGUCCGGGUGUUGGAAGUCCCGGUCGCUGCAUUGGAGAAGGCGCUUAGGCAAAUCCGGGCGCAGGAUUCAAGGGUGUGGCGCGAGCUCCUUAGGGAGCGAAGCAAUUGGAAGUGGUUCCAAGAAAAGCCUCUAAGCUUCAGUCUAACGAUGACCGUACCGCAAACCGACACAGGUGGGCGAGAUGAGUAUUCUAAGGCGCUUGAGAGAACUCGGGAGAAGGAACUCGGCAAAUUGGUACCGUAACUUCGGGAUAAGGUACGCCCUUGUAGCUUGACUGGCCUGCGCCAGGAGGGUGAAGGGGUUGCAAUAAACUGGUGGCUGCGACUGUUUAAUAAAAACACAGCACUCUGCAAACACGAAAGUGGACGUAUAGGGUGUGACGCCUGCCCGGUGCCGGAAGAUUAAAUGAUGGGGUGCAAGCUCUUGAUUGAAGUCCCGGUAAACGGCGGCCGUAACUAUAACGGUCCUAAGGUAGCGAAAUUCCUUGUCGGGUAAGUUCCGACCUGCACGAAUGGCGUAACGAUGGCCACACUGUCUCCUCCCGAGACUCAGCGAAGUUGAAGUGUUUGUGAUGAUGCAAUCUACCCGCGGCUAGACGGAAAGACCCCAUGAACCUUUACUGUAGCUUUGCAUUGGACUUUGAACCGAUCUGUGUAGGAUAGGUGGGAGGCUAUGAAACCGGAACGCUAGUUUCGGUGGAGCCGUCCUUGAAAUACCACCCUGGUUUGUUUGAGGUUCUAACCUUGGCCCGUGAUCCGGGUCGGGGACAGUGCAUGGUAGGCAGUUUGACUGGGGCGGUCUCCUCCCAAAGCGUAACGGAGGAGUACGAAGGUACGCUAGGUACGGUCGGAAAUCGUGCUGAUAGUGCAAUGGCAUAAGCGUGCUUAACUGCGAGACCGACAAGUCGAGCAGGUGCGAAAGCAGGUCAUAGUGAUCCGGUGGUUCUGUAUGGAAGGGCCAUCGCUCAACGGAUAAAAGGUACUCUGGGGAUAACAGGCUGAUACCGCCCAAGAGUUCAUAUCGACGGCGGUGUUUGGCACCUCGAUGUCGGCUCAUCUCAUCCUGGGGCUGUAGCCGGUCCCAAGGGUAUGGCUGUUCGCCAUUUAAAGAGGUACGUGAGCUGGGUUUAAAACGUCGUGAGACAGUUUGGUCCCUAUCUGCCGUGGGCGUUGGAUAUUUGAAGGGGGCUGCUCCUAGUACGAGAGGACCGGAGUGGACGAACCUCUGGUGUACCGGUUGUCACGCCAGUGGCAUCGCCGGGUAGCUAUGUUCGGAAGAGAUAACCGCUGAAAGCAUCUAAGCGGGAAACUCGCCUUAAGAUGAGAUAUCCCUGGGGACUAGAUCCCCUUGAAGGGUCGUUCGAGACCAGGACGUUGAUAGGUCAGGUGUGUAAGCGCAGUAAUGCGUUCAGCUAACUGAUACUAAUUGCCCGUAAGGCUUGAUCCUAUAACA
rnacentral:rRNA from 1 species